rnacentral:rRNA from 1 species
UACGUAGGGGUGCAAGCGUUGUCCGGAAUUAUUGGGCGUAAAGAGCUCGUAGGCGGUCUGUCGCGUCUGCUAGUGAAAACUCAGGGCUUAACCCUGAGCUUGCAGUGGGUACGGGCAGACUGAGAGUGCGGUAGGGGAGACUGGAAUUCCGUGGUGAUAGCGGUGAAAUGACGCAGAUAUCGAGGAGGAACACCGGUGGCGAAGGCGGGUCUCUGGGCCGUAACUGGACGCUGGAGGAGCGAAAGCAUCGGGGAGCGAACAGG